rnacentral:tRNA from 2 species
GGGCCCAUAGCUCAAUUGGUUAGAGCCGCCGGCUCAUAACCGGCUCGUUGCUGGUUCGAGUCCAGCUGGGCCUACCC